GGAAAGAGGUGGAAAUCCUCUACUAUUCGGUAACUGUAAGAGAAACGAAAGCCGGGUUAUCCACUGCCCCGCGUUAUUCCGGGGCGGGAAGGAAGGCAAGUAGGAUGAGUCUUAAGUCAGGAAAC
rnacentral:ncRNA from 2 species